rnacentral:rRNA from 1 species
CAGUAGCCGCGGGAAUACGGAGGGGGCUAGCGUUGUUCGGAAUUACUGGGCGUAAAGCGCACGUAGGCGGCUUGGUAAGUUAGAGGUGAAAGCCCGGAGCUCAACUCCGGAAUUGCCUUUAAGACUGCCGAGCUAGUAGGUGAGAGAGGUAAGUGGAAUUCCGAGUGUAGAGGUGAAAUUCGUAGAUAUUCGGAAGAACGCCAGUGGCGAAGGCGGCUUACUGGCUCAUUCUAGACGCUGAGGUGCGAAAGCGUGGGGAGCAAACAGGAUUAGAUACCCCAGUAGUCCCUGUCUCUUAUAC